rnacentral:rRNA from 1 species
UACGGAGGGGGCAAGCGUUGUUCGGAAUUACUGGGCGUAAAGGGCGCGCAGGCGGCUGCUCAAGUCAGGCGUGAAAGGCCUGGGCUCAACCCGGGAAUUGCGCUUGAGACUGGGCUGGCUUGAGUGCGGGAGAGGAUGGUGGAAUUCCCAGUGUAGAGGUGAAAUUCGUAGAUAUCGGGAGGAACACCGGUGGCGAAGGCGGCGACCUGGGUAGAUACUGACGCUGAGGCGCGAAAGCGUGGGGAGCAAACAGG